UACAGAGGGUGCAAGCGUUAAUCGGAAUUACUGGGCGUAAAGCGUGCGUAGUCGGUUAUCUAAGUCGGGUGUGAAAUCCCCGGGCUCAACCUGGGAAUUGCAUUCGAUACUGGAUAGCUAGAGUUCGGCAGAGGGAAGCGGAAUUUCUGGUGUAGCGGUGAAAUGCGUAGAUAUCAGAAGGAACAUCAGUGGCGAAAGCGGCUUCCUGGACCAGAAACUGACGAUCAGGCACGAAAGCGUGGGGAGCAAACAGG
rnacentral:rRNA from 1 species